rnacentral:rRNA from 1 species
AAAUUGAAGAGUUUGAUCAUGGCUCAGAUUGAACGCUGGCGGCAGGCCUAACACAUGCAAGUCGAGCGGUAACAGGAAGGAAGCUUGCUUUCUUUGCUGACGAGCGGCGGACGGGUGAGUAAUGCCUGGGAAAUUGCCCUGAUGUGGGGGAUAACCAUUGGAAACGAUGGCUAAUACCGCAUGAUGCCUACGGGCCAAAGAGGGGGACCUUCGGGCCUCUCGCGUCAGGAUAUGCCCAGGUGGGAUUAGCUAGUUGGUGAGGUAAUGGCUCACCAAGGCGACGAUCCCUAGCUGGUCUGAGAGGAUGAUCAGCCACACUGGAACUGAGACACGGUCCAGACUCCUACGGGAGGCAGCAGUGGGG